UACGAAGGGGGCUAGCGUUGCUCGGAAUUACUGGGCGUAAAGCGCACGUAGGCGGCUUCUUAAGUCGGGGGUGAAAGCCUGUGGCUCAACCACAGAAUUGCCUUCGAUACUGUAGAGCUUGAGACCGGAAGAGGUAAGUGGAACUGCGAGUGUAGAGGUGAAAUUCGUAGAUAUUCGCAAGAACACCAGUGGCGAAGGCGGCUUACUGGUCCGGUUCUGACGCUGAGGCGCGAAAGCGUGGGGAGCAAACAGG
rnacentral:rRNA from 1 species